rnacentral:rRNA from 1 species
CCUACGGGUGGCAGCAGUGAGGAAUAUUGGUCAAUGGACGAGAGUCUGAACCAGCCAAGUAGCGUGAAGGAUGACUGCCCUAUGGGUUGUAAACUUCUUUUAUAUGGGAAUAAAAUGUUCCACGUGUGGGAUUUUGUAUGUAACAUAUGAAUAAGGAUAGGCUAACUCCGUGCCAGCAGCCGCGGUAAUACGGAGGAUCCGAGCGUUAUCCGGAUUUAUUGGGUUGAAAGGGAGGGUAGUUGGAUUGUAAAGUCGGUUGUGAAAGUUUGCGGCUAAACCGAAAAAUUGCAGUUGAAACUGGCGGUCUUAGGUACAGUAGGGGUGGGCGGAAUUGGUGGUGUGGCGGUGAAUGCUUAGAUAUCACGAAGAACUCCGAUUGCGAAGGCAGCUCACUAGACUGCAACUGACACUGAGGCUCGAAAGUGUGGGUAUCAAACAGGAUUAGAUACCCCAGUAGUC